GGAGUUUGGACCGUGUCUCAGUUCCAAUGUGGGGGACCUUCCUCUCAGAACCCCUACUGAUCGAUGGCUCGGUGGGCCGUUACCCCGCCUACUACCUAAUCAGACGCAUCCCCAUCCCAUAGCGAUAAAUCUUUGGUAUUGCUCAGAUGUCCUCAUAAUACAACAUAGGGCAUUAAUCCGACUUUCGCCGGGCUAUUCCCUACUAUGGGGAAGGUUGGAUACGCGUUACUCACCCGUGCGCCGGUCGUCAGCAAGAAAAGCAAGCUUCUCUCCUGCUACCCCUCGACUUGCAUGUGUUAAGCCUGUAGCUAGCGUUCAUC
rnacentral:rRNA from 1 species